GAAAGUGCCGACAAACAUUAAUGGAGGCCACGUGAAGUUUUGGAAUCUGGGAAAGAAAAUAUGGGGAUCCGAAAAGACUGUAGCCAUAUUUCCUCCUAUAGAUAUUGCCUUUGCAAAACUUGAUUGGAGCAACUGCGUUUCAACUUAACUUCCUUCAUUUGCUGAAACUCUAGUUUUCUUAAGGCUUUCUUUGAAACCUUCUUAAGAAUGGCUUCCUCUUCUUCCUG
rnacentral:lncRNA from 1 species